AAAAAGGGUUUCUGUCGUGAGUGGCGCACGUAGGGCAGCUUGGUGGCUCCACGUGUGGGAUCGACAUCAGGAGAUUUCGGGAGCAUAACUUGGUGUCUGGGCAGCUGGUGGUCAUGGGGCCUGGCACCUGG